AUGGAGGAGGGGGAGGCGCUGGACGCAUACGCCGGCAAAAUCGGCGGCAUGGCAGCAAGGUAUGCUGGCCUCGGCUCGACGCUCGACGACACCGCCAUGGUGAAAAAACUGCUCGACACGGUGCCCGAUCGGUUGUAUGCCGCGGUGGCCGGGAUUGAGCAGUUCUGCGACGUGGAGACAAAGGUGUUCGAGGAGGCGUUGAGCAGGCUCAAGGCGUUCGACGAACGCUUACGUCGGCGCACGCAGGACAACGGCGGACGAGGCGGCGAUCAGCUGAUGUUCGCGGCGGCCCAGUGGGAGGCACGGCAGUGUCAGCGCGGCGGCAACCUCGACCACGACGACGUGCGAGCAGCGUGGCUUCGGGCACGAGACGACGGCGCGGGAAGUGCUACAACUGUGACGUUUGUGGCCACUUCUCCCGUGACUGCCGGCAGCCGAAGGAGAAGGCGCUCCUCGCCAACAUCGACGACGAGCCGACCUUACUGUAGGUCGUGUCUUAGGGGGAGAUUGUUAGGAAUAAGACACGGCGGUGGUGGUGACCAGUGUGUGCGUGCGUGUUGGUCGUGCCAGACGCCGUGGCGAGUGUGCGUGUGUGCGUGCAUUGUGUGCGUGUCGAGUCUGUGCUCAUAA
rnacentral:rRNA from 1 species